CAGCCGCCGCGGUAAUACGAAGGGUGCAAGCGUUACUCGGAAUUACUGGGCGUAAAGCGUGCGUAGGUGGUGGUUUAAGUCCGUUGUGAAAGCCCUGGGCUCAACCUGGGAAUUGCAGUGGAUACUGGGUCACUAGAGUGUGGUAGAGGAUAGUGGAAUUUCCGGUGUAGCAGUGAAAUGCGUAGAGAUCGGAAGGAACAUCAGUGGCGAAGGCGGCCAUCUGGGACAACACUGACGCUGAGGCACGAAAGCGUGGGGAGCAAACAGGAUUAGAUACCCCCGUAGUCCCUGUCUCUUAUAA
rnacentral:rRNA from 1 species